UAGGGAAUCUUCGGCAAUGGACGAAAGUCUGACCGAGCAACGCCGCGUGAGUGAAGAAGGUUUUCGGAUCGUAAAACUCUGUUGUUAGAGAAGAACAAGGACGUUAGUAACUGAACGUCCCCUGACGGUAUCUAACCAGAAAGCCACGGCUAACUACGUGCCAGCAGCCGCGGUAAUACGUAGGUGGCAAGCGUUGUCCGGAUUUAUUGGGCGUAAAGCGAGCGCAGGCGGUUUCUUAAGUCUGAUGUGAAAGCCCCCGGCUCAACCGGGGAGGGUCAUUGGAAACUGCGAGACUAGAGUGCAGAAGAGGAGAGUGGAAUUCCAUGUGUAGCGGUGAAAUGCGUAGAUAUAUGGAGGAACACCAGUGGCGAAGGCGGCGCUCUGGUCUGUAACUGACGCUGAGGCGCGAAAGCGUGGGGAGCAAACAGG
rnacentral:rRNA from 1 species